GGGAGUAUAGCUCAGUGGUAGAGUGUGGACUUAGCAUGCACAAGGUCUGGGUUCAAUCCCUAGAACCUCUA
rnacentral:tRNA from 1 species